CACAGCUGGGGCCAUGAAGGACAGAGCAUCUGCAGAAGCUGUCAAGAAUUGAUGUGCCUUUGCCUCAAGUCGGAGUCUCCCGUUGGGUAUUUGUGUCCCAUGCUGCACUUGGUUCAGCCAUCUUUCAAGCUGCUCCAUGUCAGAUCAAGUGGAAAGGAGACCACAGCCAGCACAUGAGAGGCAGUCUGGCUGGGGAAGUGAGUAAAAGGAAGACAUGUUUGAGUGACGAGAUCAGCGAGGUGUCAUAGCAGCCCAGAUGGAUGAUUAGGCAAGAAGAUAGUAAAACAAAGGGAAGCACAUCUGUCUUCAAAGAUAUAAAACAGCUACAGACUGGGUACCCUGACGCAGGAGCACACCGACACUUGCUGACCCCCUUCUAUCAGCCUUGAAGCCCAGUGGAGCGGGACAGGUGGCCCAUAGGACUGCAUGAUGCUGAGGACACUCAGAAAGAAGCUGUUCUUACAUGUCUGACCAGCCUGCUCAGUGGACAUCCCGGUUUACCCCCCAGCAGAGACAG